UACGGAAGGGGCAAGCGUUGUUCGGAAUCAUUGGGCGUAAAGGGCGCGUAGGUGGUUCUGUAUGUCUACCGUGAAAGCGUACGGCUCAACCGUAUUUUGUCGGUGGAAACUGCAGGACUUGAGGCUGGGAGGGGCUGGUGGAAUUCCCUGUGUAGCGGUGAAAUGCGUAGAGAUGGGGGAGAACACUCGUGGCGAAGGCGGCCAGCUAGACCAGUUCUGACACUGAGGCGCGACGAGCGUGGGGAGCAAACAGG
rnacentral:rRNA from 1 species